AGCUUUGCCGCUUCAUUUGGUGUCCGCCUUUGGCGGAAUUAAAAGGGAAUCCGGUGUAAUUCCGGAGCAGUUCCCGCUGCUGUAAGUUCAAUUUACAAGCUUCUGACAUAAUGCCACUGGGGUGCAAUUUUGAAUGAUAGAAUGAUAGAAUGAAUGAAUAAAAACAUUCAGUCAUUCACUCAUUCAAAAUUCAAAAUUGACCUGGGAAGGCGUUAGAAGUUGAACGAGCCAGAAGACCUGCCAGUUGAGAAUAUCCGUUU
rnacentral:ncRNA from 1 species